CUCAGCUUUUCCUUUCCUGCACUUUCCUGGGGACUUCAACUCAGUCUUCCUGAGGCAAGGAUGGAGGGGAGGACGGGAUAGGCCAGCCUCGUAGAGGUCACUAACUGCUCAAACCCCAAACAGAAUGGAGUCAUUCGCAUCCUGGAGGAGGACUCUACCAUUCCAAGAUAUUCAGCUGAACACCCUAGCAGUGCUAGCCGACAUCAGUGGCUCCUGAGACCUCCACACUCAACAGAGUCCCGCACACUUUCAAGUUGAGCCGCCGUUGGAACGCGUGGAGAGAAAGGGUGCGCGAGGCCAGGGCUCGAAGAAAUGCCGCAGAGGGCGAAGUGCGAAGUCCAACGGUCCAGCCCCAGCAGGGGACUCUCGAGCUUCGGGAUUCCGUUUACUGGGUAGCGGCUGUUUAGACCCAGACCGGCCCUGCGCCAUGUGAGCACUGCUCAGGACUGCAGCUGCUGGGCACCAGCAGCCAGGUCUGCAGGCUCCGCCAAGCCUGGCUAGCUUCUGCAAGCAGUGCAGGUGUAUCCUGGGGUCACUGGAAGGCAGCGCCUGCUCAGAGCCAGAGUACAGAAGCGGCCCAGGUCUUCCCAGCACCAGGUUCACUGGAAGUGCCAGGUGUGGGAGAGGGAGCUGGGGAGAGAAGAGGACUGUACUGGUUCCCGAGCUGAAUGAUGUACCCAAGAGGCCAGGGAGCUUCAGCAGGUGCUAAGGCCACCACCUCCUUCAUGCUCCUCUCUGAUCACCUCUCCAAGUCCUGGUGUCAGGAGCCUUCUCUGUGGCCGCCCUGGGGAGACUUGAGCCUGGGACAUGACCUGCUGGGUGAAGGUUUCUGAGAAGGGAAACCUGUGGCCUGACCUGCGUGGGUGCUGCACCCAACCUCAUCUCCUCCUGGGAGGCAGGCUCUCUUCGCUUGUUUUUACAAAUUUGAAACCAACAACUGUCAGCAUUAACACCAUCAGGCCUUUCUCUUCUAAUUUAACCUUGCAGCCAACCACACAGCUAUCUGUGCACGACCUCUCCCCAAGCGCAAGGACAUGAGAUACGGAUCAGG